rnacentral:rRNA from 1 species
AUUGAACGCUGGCGGCAGGCCUAACACAUGCAAGUCGAACGCGUGGCGGACGGGGGAGUAAUGUCUGGGAAACUGCCCGAUGGAGGGGGAUAACAACUGGAGACGGUAGCGAAAACACCAUACCAUAUGAUGUGCCCAGAUGGGAGUAGCUCGUAGGGGGGGUAACGGCUCACCUAGGCGACGAUCCCUAGCUGGUCUGAGAGGAUGACCAGCCACACUGGAACUGAGACACGGUCCAGACUCCUACGGGAGGCAGCAGUGGGGAAUAUUGCACAAUGGGCGCAAGCCUGAUGCAGCCAUGCCGCGUGUAUGAAGAAGGCCUUCGGGUUGUAAAGUACUUUCAGCGGGGAGGCGUUACUCGCAGAAGAAGCACCGGCUAACUCCGUGCCAGCAGCCGCGGUAAUUC